rnacentral:rRNA from 1 species
GACGAACGCUGGCGGCGUGCUUAACACAUGCAAGUCGAACGAAGAGCGAUGGAAGCUUGCUUCUAUCAAUCUUAGUGGCGAACGGGUGAGUAACGCGUAAUCAACCUGCCCUUCAGAGGGGGACAACAGUUGGAAACGACUGCUAAUACCGCAUACGAUCUAAUCUCGGCAUCGAGGAUAGAUGAAAGGUGGCCUCUACAUGUAAGCUAUCACUGAAGGAGGGGAUUGCGUCUGAUUAGCUAGUUGGAGGGGUAACGGCCCACCAAGGCGAUGAUCAGUAGCCGGUCUGAGAGGAUGAACGGCCACAUUGGGACUGAGACACGGCCCAGACUCCUACGGGAGGCAGCAGUGGGGAAUCUUCCGCAAUGGACGAAAGUCUGACGGAGCAACGCCGCGUGAGUGAUGACGGCCUUCGGGUUGUAAAGCUCUGUUAAUCGGGACGAAAGACCUUCUUGCGAAUAGUGAGAAGGAUUGACGGUACCGUAAUAGAAAGCCACGGCUAACUACGUG